UUCUUGAUCGUAUAACGGUUUAGUAUGCUCGCUUGUCAUUGAAAAUUGACUCCGCGGGAGAUCGGGGUUCGAUUCCCCGUCAGGAAG
rnacentral:tRNA from 1 species